GAUGAACGCUAGCUACAGGCUUAACACAUGCAAGUCGAGGGGAAACGACAUCGAAAGCUUGCUUUUGAUGGGCGUCGACCGGCGCACGGGUGAGUAACGCGUAUCCAACCUGCCCACCACUUGGGGAUAACCUUGCGAAAGUAAGACUAAUACCCAAUGAUAUCUCUAGAAGACAUCUGAAAGAGAUUAAAGAUUUAUCGGUGAUGGAUGGGGAUGCGUCUGAUUAGCUUGUUGGCGGGGUAACGGCCCACCAAGGCAACGAUCAGUAGGGGUUCUGAGAGGAAGGGCCCCCACAUUGGAACUGAGACACGGGCCAAACUCCUACGGGAGGCAGCAGUGAGGAAUAUUGGUCAAUGGACGAGAGUCUGAACCAGCCAAGUAGCGUGCAGGAAGACGGCCCUAUGGGUUGUAAACUGCUUUUAUAAGGGAAUAAAGUGAGUCUCGUGAGACUUUUUGCAUGUACCUUAUGAAUAAGGACCGGCUAAUUCCGUG
rnacentral:rRNA from 1 species